AUUUAUUUAGUAUAUAUAAGUACAAUUGACUUCCAAUCAAUUAGAUUGAUUAAAUCAAAAUAAAUA
rnacentral:tRNA from 1 species